UACGAAGGGGGCUAGCGUUGCUCGGAAUCACUGGGCGUAAAACGCACGUAGGCGGAUUGCUAAGUCAGGGGUGAAAUCCUGGAGCUCAACUCCAGAACUGCCUUUGAUACUGGCGACCUUGAGUCCGGGAGAGGUGAGUGGAACUGCGAGUGUAGAGGUGAAAUUCGUAGAUAUUCGCAAGAACACCGGUGGCGAAGGCGGGUCUCUGGGCCGAUACUGACGCUGAGGAGCGAAAGCGUGGGGAGCGAACAGG
rnacentral:rRNA from 1 species